rnacentral:rRNA from 1 species
GAUGAACGCUAGCGGCAGGCCUAAUACAUGCAAGUCGGACGGGAUCCAUUGAUAGCUUGCUCUCAAUGGUGAGAGUGGCGCACGGGUGCGUAACGCGUGAGCAACCUGCCUCCAUCAGGGGGAUAGCCUCUCUAAAGAGAGAUUAACACCGCAUAAUAUCAACAGUUCGCAUGUUCAGUUGAUUAAAUAUUUAUAGGAUGGAGAUGGGCUCGCGUGACAUUAGCUAGUUGGUAGGGUAACGGCUUACCAAGGCGACGAUGUCUAGGGGCUCUGAGAGGAGAAUCCCCCACACUGGUACUGAGACACGGACCAGACUCCUACGGGAGGCAGCAGUAAGGAAUAUUGGUCAAUGGGCGGAAGCCUGAACCAGCCAUGCCGCGUGCAGGAUGACUGCCCUAUGGGUUGUAAACUGCUUUUGUCCAGGAAUAAACCUAAAUACGAGUAUUUAGCUGAAUGUACUGGAAGAAUAAGGAUCGGCUAACUCCGUG